rnacentral:rRNA from 1 species
CCUACGGGCGGCUGCAGUGGGGAAUAUUGCACAAUGGGCGCAAGCCUGAUGCAGCCAUGCCGCGUGUGUGAAGAAGGCCUUCGGGUUGUAAAGCACUUUCAGCGGGGAGGAAGGCGGUGAGGUUAAUAACCUCAUCGAUUGACGUUACCCGCAGAAGAAGCACCGGCUAACUCCGUGCCAGCAGCCGCGGUAAUACGGAGGGUGCAAGCGUUAAUCGGAAUUACUGGGCGUAAAGCGCACGCAGGCGGUCUGUCAAGUCGGAUGUGAAAUCCCCGGGCUCAACCUGGGAACUGCAUUCGAAACUGGCAGGCUAGAGUCGUGUAGAGGGGGGUAGAAUUCCAGGUGUAGCGGUGAAAUGCGUAGAGAUCUGGAGGAAUACCGGUGGCGAAGGCGGCCCCCUGGACAAAGACUGACGCUCAGGUGCGAAAGCGUGGGGAGCAAACAGGAUUAGAUACCCUAGUAGUC